CCGACAGUGGCCAAUGCCAGGUGCCAUCAUCUGCUCUGGUUUCUGUCUCUCUGUGCUGAUUAUCUUCCUCCCUAUCUCCUCUCACCUUCAAGUUCCCUCUUUGGGCCCCUUCUCCAGUAAAAGGCCCCUUUCUGCCCCUGUUAGUUUUGCCAAGGUCCUACAUGGGCUCACUCAUCCAUCCUCCCAUGCUGUCACUCUCUGGGAUGGGAUAGGGAAAGGCACUUUCUGGUGUGCUCAGAGCACUACUGUGUGGAUUCAGGGAGUAUCAAGUCUGCGAGUAUCACAGAGAACAGCCACGAAACUUUAUCACUGGUUCACACCCCAGCUUUGGAACUCCUUGAGAGAAAGGUUCAGCAAAGACAACCGCAGGGUGACUUUUUUUCAUGUUUCAAGCAUCAGUACAUUUCAGAAAUAGACUACUCACCGGAUCAGCGGGUAUCGAUUGAUCUAUCAGGGAUCGAUAUAUCGCGUCUCGUCUAGACGCAAUAUAUCGAUCCCCGAAUGCGCUCCCAUUGACUCCGGAACUCCACCAGGGCGAGAGGCGGAAGCGGAGUCGACGGGGGAGCCGCGGACGUUGAUCCCGCGCCGUGAGGACGGGAGGGCCGUGUGUCCCCAGAGUCAGCAUAGUGAGAACUAAAAAUUGAUCUUGCUACUCAAAGCCUUCGACAUCCAACUUACUGUCCCAAUAUUUAUACAGGAGGUUAUUUGGGGAAUUUAAUAUGAAGACCGUUCCUGCACAGCUUGACAGAUGCGGAGUUGAAAAAUGGAGGCUGUCCUGAAGACAAACAGAUUUGUAUUCCUCAGAUAACCAUACCACAAAUGGAGAGCUAUUAAACCACCAGGAUCUAUUCUAAAUUAACAUUCGCGAUCUGGCUUAAGCCCACAAAACCAAGGAGAAACACUCAUGCUGAAACUCGAGGCUCUUCUCCCCCGCCCCUCCGCAGCGCAGUGCACACUGCACGCUAGAUAAGAUCACUCCAUUUAUCAUCUGGUAAACUGAAAAGCCCCUCUUUGGAGAUUUCUCAUUACCUCCUGUAGCCACAACAUGGAACAGUAAGGGGGAGGGGACCCAGCCACAGCCAACUUCCCCAGCUUUAAGUUUGUCAG